GACGAACGCUGGCGGCGUGCUUAACACAUGCAAGUCGAACGGUGAAGCGCUUUCCUUUUUGGUUGGUGUGGAUGAGUGGCGAACGGGUGAGUAACACGUGAGUAACCUGCCCCCUUCUUCUGGAUAACCGCAUGAAAGUGUGGCUAAUACGGGAUAUUCUGCGCCUGCUGCAUGGUGGGUGUGGGAAAGAUUGUGCCUUUGGGUGUUUUCGGUGGGGGAUGGGCUCGCGGCCUAUCAGCUUGUUGGUGGGGUGAUGGCCUACCAAGGCGGUGACGGGUAGCCGGCCUGAGAGGGUGGACGGUCACACUGGGACGGAGACACGGCCCAGACGCCUACGGGAGGCAGCAGUGGGGAAUAGUGCACAAGGGGCGGAAGCCUGAUGCAGCGACGCCGAGUGAGGGAGGGGGGCCGUCGGGUGGUGAACCUCUUUCGUCAGUGAAGCAGGCCUGCUCCUUGUGGGUGGGUUGACGGUAGCUGGAUAAGAAGCGCCGGCUAACUACGUG
rnacentral:rRNA from 1 species